AUUUAUUUAAGUCUCGGCUGUAAUAUUGCCAGUAUUCUUCUUCUGCUUCCGGCAAUCGCCAUCUUUCUGAUUUACAGACCGUUGCGUAAACAACAUCGUAUACGUCUACAUAUAUCAUUUUUCCUCUCCUUCAUCCUAAGUGACAUCACAGCUAUAUUAUGGGAUGUAGUCGUGACGUAUGAUCGACUGACCAAUGACAGUACGUCUGAGAGUGUUUUGUAUCAAAAUGGGACUGGAUGUAAGGCUUUGUCCUUUUUCCGGAUUUAUUGUAAAUCCACGAAUUACGUCUGGAUGUUCUGUGAGGGCUUUUAUUUGCAUCGCUUAAUCAGUAAUGCUUUUAAACCUCCAAAAUC